rnacentral:RNase_P_RNA from 1 species
GCGAGUCAGUGGACGACUUCCGGGCGAAAGCCUGAGGAAACUCCGUCCAUCUAGCAGGUCCGCGGGCUCGUAAGAGCACGGUUGAGAGACCGGACAAUGGCACAGAAACGACACCUCCCGGCUCGCGCGAGGAUGCGGCGACGCUGAGGUCGUGCCGGCGAGGAUGAAACGGCCAAUCCGCGGGAUGCAAGGGCAAGCAACCGCCGAGGAACGCCUGCUGAAGGCGGGUGGUAGCCCGCUAAGCUCAAUGUCGUCUGAAAACAGAAGACGGGUUACGACUGAUUCGC